rnacentral:tRNA from 1 species
AAAAUUAGUUAAAGCAUAACAUAGGCUUGUCAAGCCUAAAUUAUUAAUAUAUAAUAUUUUA